ensembl:snRNA U6 U6 spliceosomal RNA
GUUUGCUUUAGCUGACGUAUACUAAAAUCAGAACAAUAUAGAGAAGAUCAGCAUGGCUGUCCCACAGGGAUGACAGCAAAUUUGUGAAGCACUGCAUAUUUUU